CAAAUACUGUGUAUGCGGAGUCAGAUGAGGAGCCAGAAACCAGCAGUGUUAAGAGAAAAUUUGCCAAGCCACCUGCUAUUCACUUUCCAGGUACAGUGGUGACACUGUCAGUUAUGAUACUACAACUACUUUUGCCAUGUAUAAUUCAACUUAUUUGUUAAUACAGUGCUGCCAGUAUCCAACCAGUACCCUCUCUACCAACCCCAGAUGCAAGCAGUGCCUCUGGAGGAAACUAUUCUGAGGAUGUUCAGUCAUUUGACCAGCCUAAUAAUGACUUUUGUGGAAACUUCUUGGCAGAGCUAGAGUCAACAGAUCUCUGUAAUGAUGACUUUCCUGGCAAUCACCAUCAACACCCCCAGGGCUAUACAGACAUUGCUGCCAACCAAAACACCAAGAUGCUAACGGAGAUACUCAUGGAGGUGAAGCAAAUGUCACGGGACAUUCAGUUCAUAAAGACUGAAAUUGCCAAAUCCUCCAUGAGUAUUCCUGGAGCGGGAUCACAGAGAGAGGAGCCCUUCCCCAUUGUUCUGCCACUCGCCAAUGAGGAGCAGUUUGAUGAGGCUGAAGCUA
ensembl:lncRNA